CUACGUGCCAGCAGCCGCGGUAAUACGUAGGGCGCGAGCGUUGUCCGGAAUUAUUGGGCGUAAAGGGCUUGUAGGCGGUUGGUCGCGUCUGCUGUGAAAGGCCGGGGCUUAACCCCGUGUAUUGCAGUGGGUACGGGCAGACUAGAGUGCAGUAGGGGAGACUGGAACUCCUGGUGUAGCGGUGGAAUGCGCAGAUAUCAGGAAGAACACCGAUGGCGAAGGCAGGUCUCUGGGCUGUAACUGACGUUGAGAAGCGAAAGCAUGGGGAGCGAACAGGAUUAGAUACCCUGGUAGUCCAUGCCGUAAACGUUGGGCACUAGGUGUGGGGGACAUUCCACGUUUUCCGCGCCGUAGCUAACGCAUUAAGUGCCCCGCCUGGGGAGUACGGCCGCAAGGCUAAAACUCAAAGAAAUUGACGGGGGCCCGCACAAGCGGCGGAGCAUGCGGAUUAAUUCGAUGCAACGCGAAGAACCUUACCAAGGCUUGACAU
rnacentral:rRNA from 1 species